GCCCUCGUAGCCCAACUGGCAGAGGCAGCCGACUUAAAAUCGGCUCAGUGCGGGUUCGAAUCCCGCCGAGGGCACCA
rnacentral:tRNA from 1 species